UACGUAAGGGGCAAGCGUUGUCCGGAAUCACUGGGCGUAAAGCGCACGUAGGCGGUUUAGCAAGUCAGGGGUGUAAGCUCUAGGCUUAACCUAGAAAUUGCCUCUGAAACUACUUCACUUGAGUAUUAGAGGGGAAGCUGGAAUUCACGGUGUAGCGGUGAAAUGCAUAGAUACAAUCAAGAACACCGAUUGCGUAGGCAGCUUACUAGGCUGUAACUGACGCUGAGGCACGAAAGCGUGGGGAGCGAACAGG
rnacentral:rRNA from 1 species